GAUGAACGCUAGCGGGAGGCCUAACACAUGCAAGCCGAGCGGUAGAGUUUCUUCGGAAACUUGAGAGCGGCGCACGGGUGCGUAACACGUGUGCAACCUACCUUUAUCUGGGGGAUAGCCUUUCGAAAGGAAGAUUAAUACCUCAUAAUAUAAUGAUUGGCAUCAAUUAUUAUUGAAAACUCCGGUGGAUAGAGAUGGGCACGCGCAAGAUUAGAUAGUUGGUGAGGUAACGGCUCACCAAGUCAAUGAUCUUUAGGGGUCCUGAGAGGGAGAUCCCCCACACUGGUACUGAGACACGGACCAGACUCCUACGGGAGGCAGCAGUGAGGAAUAUUGGACAAUGGGUGAGAGCCUGAUCCAGCCAUCCCGCGUGAAGGAUGACGGUCCUAUGGAUUGUAAACUUCUUUUGGACAGGGAUAAACCUACCCUCGUGAGGGUAGCUGAAGGUACUGUACGAAUAAGCACCGGCUAACUCCGUG
rnacentral:rRNA from 1 species